UUGCCAAAACGUUAAUGUCAAGAAAAAAUGAAUUUCUUAUUUUUUCAAAUGCUUUUUUUUUUUACUAUGAAGGACAUGUACCCAAAAGACAAGAAGUCCAUAUUCUUGGAUCCACUGGGGGAGUCCAAAAAGGACCUCAAGAUAUGUUUGGCAACAACAAGGGCAUUCAUGCAAAAAAAGGGAUGCAAUGUCUCAAGGUGGAGAUGUGAGACAGUCCAGCAUCCUAAACAGUCUGACUCUACCUCUUGUGGGGUAUUUGCCCUGAAAUUUGCAGAGCUACUUU